rnacentral:lncRNA from 1 species
UGUGGAACGUGGUCACACGGAGAGGGCCAUCACCAUUAUGACGCCAGCGCCCCUGGCUACCCUCCCCUUUCGAAACGUUUAUAAAGACAAUGCAAUCGUCCCCCUUGAAUCUUAUUGGAGCUCUGGUUGAAAAAGGCCCUAAAGAUUUAUGUUAUACAACGUUUGACAUGUUUGAACGAACCUAAAUAAGAAAAAAAUGCAUUUUGUUGAAAGAGUAGCCCCGUGCACGUCGGAACUUUUGGUGCAGCCUUCAGAACGCGCUAACAACAACAAGCUAAUGGAACAUAAAGGAUGAACUUUUUCGAACAAAAAUACAUUUCUUGUGGAUCUGGGAUUCCUGGAAGUGCCUAAGGAUGAAGAUAAUCAAAGGAUUUUUCGCUGGAUGCCGCACAGGGGUUAAUGACUUGGAGAAGAUCUGCAAAGAGGAGUGGGAGAAAAUCCCUCCUGAGAUGUGUGCAAACCUGGUGGCCAACUACAAGAAACGUCUGACCUCUGUGAUUGCCAACAAGGGUUUUGCCACCAAGUACUAAGUCAUGUUUUGCAGAGGGGUCAAAUACUUAUUUCCCUCAUAAAAAUGCAAAUCAUUUUAUAACAUUUUUGACAUGCGUUUUUCUGGAUUUUCUUGUUGUUAUUCUGUCUCUCACUGUUCA